rnacentral:rRNA from 1 species
UACGUAGGGCGCAAGCGUUGUCCGGAAUUAUUGGGCGUAAAGAGCUCGUAGGUGGCGUGUCGCGUCUGCCGUGAAAGCCCAUGGCUUAACUGUGGGUCUGCGGUGGAUACGGGCAGGCUGGAGGCUGGUAGGGGCAAGCGGAAUUCCUGGUGUAGCGGUGAAAUGCGCAGAUAUCAGGAGGAACACCGGUGGCGAAGGCGGCUUGCUGGGCCAGUUCUGACGCUGAGGAGCGAAAGCGUGGGGAGCGGACAGG